rnacentral:rRNA from 1 species
AAUGAACGCUGGCGGCGCGCCUAAUACAUGCAAGUCGAGCGAGAAGACGUAGCAAUACGUUUGUAAAGCGGCGAACGGGUGAGGAAUACAUGGGUAACCUACCCUAGAGUGGGGAAUAACUAGCCGAAAGGUUAGCUAAUACCGCGUACGCUCCUUGGACUUCGGUUCAGGGAGGAAAGCGAUACCGAGGGUAUCGCGCUCUUGGAUGGGGCUCAUGUCCUAUCAGCUUGUUGGUGAGGUAACGGCUCACCAAGGCUUCGACGGGUAGCUGGUCUGAGAGGACGAUCAGCCACACUGGCACUGCGACACGGGCCAGACUCCGUACGGGAGGCAGCAGUAAGGAAUAUUGCGCAAUGGGCGAAAGCCUGACGCAGCGACGCCGC